rnacentral:rRNA from 1 species
UUUUCCUACGGGACGCAGCAGUGGGGGAUAUUGCACAAUGGGGGGAACCCUGAUGCAGCGACGCCGCGUGGGUGAAGAAGCGCCUCGGCGCGUAAAGCCCUGUCAGCAGGGAAGAAAAUGACGGUACCUGAAGAAGAAGCCCCGGCUAACUACGUGCCAGCAGCCGCGGUAAUACGUAGGUGGCGAGCGUUAUCCGGAAUGAUUGGGCGUAAAGGGUGCGUAGGCGGCCUGCUAAGUCUGGAGUGAAAGGUACCGGCUCAACCGGUACAGGCUCUGGAAACUGGCGGGCUAGAGAG